rnacentral:rRNA from 1 species
UACAGAGGUCCCGAGCGUUGUUCGGAUUCACUGGGCGUAAAGGGUGCGUAGGUGGUUGGGUAAGUCUGAUGUGAAAUCUCCGGGCUCAACCCGGAAAUGGCAUUGGAUACUAUCUGGCUAGAGGUUUGGAGGGGGGACUGGAAUUCUCGGUGUAGCAGUGAAAUGCGUAGAUAUCGAGAGGAACACCAGUGGCGAAGGCGGCUCACUGGCUCGAUACUGACGCUGAGGUGCGAAAGCGUGGGGAGCGAACAGG